rnacentral:rRNA from 1 species
GGAUGCAGCCAUAUCACCCUGCAACUCACAACUGGCAACCCACUGAAGCUAAGCAGGUGUGAGCCUGGUCAGUACCUGGAUGGGAGACCUCCUGGGAAAAACUAAGGUUGCUGCUGGAA